rnacentral:tRNA from 1 species
CUUGUAAUAGCAUAAUGGAAAUGCAUCUACUUCGUAGUAGAAAGAUCCAGGUUCAACUCCUGGUUAAAGAA